UACAGAGGGUGCUAGCGUUGUUCGGAAUUACUGGGCGUAAAGGGCGCGUAGGCGGCCCGCUAAGUCGAACGUGAAAUCCCCGGGCUCAACCCGGGAACUGCGUCCGAUACUGGCAGGCUUGAAUCCGGGAGAGGGAUGUGGAAUUCCAGGUGUAGCGGUGAAAUGCGUAGAUAUCUGGAGGAACACCGGUGGCGAAGGCGGCAUCCUGGACCGGUAUUGACGCUGAGGCGCGAAAGCCAGGGGAGCAAACGGG
rnacentral:rRNA from 1 species